UUUGAUCCUGGCUCAGAUUGAACGCUGGCGGCAGGCCUAACACAUGCAAGUCGAACGGCAGCAGCGAGAGUAGCUUGCUCUUUGCCGGGGGCGGACGGGUGAGUAAUGUCUGGGAAACUGCCUGAUGGAGGGGGAUAACUACUGGAAACGGUAGCUAAUACCGCAUAACGUCGCAAGACCAAAGAGGGGGACCUUCGGGCCUCUUGCCAUCAGAUGUGCCCAGAUGGGAUUAGCUAGUAGGUGGGGUAACGGCUCACCUAGGCGACGAUCCCUAGCUGGUCUGAGAGGAUGACCAGCCACACUGGAACUGAGACACGGUCCAGACUCCUACGGGAGGCAGCAGUGGGGAAUAUUGCACAAUGGGCGCAAGCCUGAUGCAGCCAUGCCGCGUGUAUGAAGAAGGCCUUCGGGUUGUAAAGUACUUUCAGCGGGGAGGAAGGUGUUGAGGUUAAUAACCUCAGCAAUUGACGUUACCCGCAGAAGAAGCACCGGCUAACUCCGUGCCAGCAGCCGCGGUAAUACGGAGGGUGCAAGCGUUAAUCGGAAUUACUGGGCGUAAAGCGCACGCAGGCGGUCUGUCAAGUCGGAUGUGAAAUCCCCGGGCUCAACCUGGGAACUGCAUUCGAAACUGGCAGGCUAGAGUCUUGUAGAGGGGGGUAGAAUUCCAGGUGUAGCGGUGAAAUGCGUAGAGAUCUGGAGGAAUACCGGUGGCGAAGGCGGCCCCCUGGACAAAGACUGACGCUCAGGUGCGAAAGCGUGGGGAGCAAACAGGAUUAGAUACCCUGGUAGUCCACGCCGUAAACGAUGUCGACUUGGAGGUUGUGCCCUUGAGGCGUGGCUUCCGGAGCUAACGCGUUAAGUCGACCGCCUGGGGAGUACGGCCGCAAGGUUAAAACUCAAAUGAAUUGACGGGGGCCCGCACAAGCGGUGGAGCAUGUGGUUUAAUUCGAUGCAACGCGAAGAACCUUACCUACUCUUGACAUCCAGAGAACUUUCCAGAGAUGGAUUGGUGCCUUCGGGAACUCUGAGACAGGUGCUGCAUGGCUGUCGUCAGCUCGUGUUGUGAAAUGUUGGGUUAAGUCCCGCAACGAGCGCAACCCUUAUCCUUUGUUGCCAGCGGUCCGGCCGGGAACUCAAAGGAGACUGCCAGUGAUAAACUGGAGGAAGGUGGGGAUGACGUCAAGUCAUCAUGGCCCUUACGAGUAGGGCUACACACGUGCUACAAUGGCGCAUACAAAGAGAAGCGACCUCGCGAGAGCAAGCGGACCUCAUAAAGUGCGUCGUAGUCCGGAUUGGAGUCUGCAACUCGACUCCAUGAAGUCGGAAUCGCUAGUAAUCGUAGAUCAGAAUGCUACGGUGAAUACGUUCCCGGGCCUUGUACACACCGCCCGUCACACCAUGGGAGUGGGUUGCAAAAGAAGUAGGUAGCUUAACCUUCGGGAGGGCGCUUACCACUUUGUGAUUCAUGACUGGGGUGAAGUCGUAACAAGGUAACCGUAAGGGA
rnacentral:rRNA from 1 species